rnacentral:lncRNA from 1 species
UUUCCCCCGAUGUGCGUAAAUUUGCUGAUGCGCCAUAGCGAAGCAGCAACUUAAUCAUGUCAACAGAGAAAUUUUCAGCAGCUUGAUGGAGGGGGAAGUAUCCGGAGCUGGUCAUGCAGUUCGGGUUGGCACGCAUCUGGCAGAACGCAGGCGCCUUGCCCUCCAAAACAAGCUUAGCACACCGCAGGGCAUUGCGUGCAAUAAUCAAGUUUAAUGUUUGAGGGGUGAUGAUAUAACCCCAAGCCAUGCAAUCCACAUUUUC